ACGAGUGCGAAGGCCGUCGGAGGAGGGAUUUACCCUUCCCAGAAGGGCUCUCGCCAUCCAGAAUACUGAGAACUGUCUUCAAGCGUUAACAAGAGUGCGGACUAUAAGAGUGGAUACUCUUCAGAAUCCUUUAGAUGGGAUACCCUGGAAGAGAGCCAGGGCCUCUCAGGGCCUCGGAGACGCCGGACAUUUGUCGAAAACGAGUGCCAAUCCUAUCCUGAAGCUCCUUCCAUUCGACGUUAACUGGUUUAGUCUCGAGAGCUAUCACUUCUAAGAGCAGCUUGGAAUCGAAGAAUUUAGAGGUUUACUUGUUCCAAUCCUAUUUAGCACUUCAAAGGUCGACCGGUUUGAAAGGAACAAAACAACAAACAUAAUCGAUCGAAAAUAUGUACACAUUUAUACUUUUCAGCAUCGAAGAUACUUAUGUACUUCCUUCUGUGGGAUGCAAACAUCUGCUCCAGAUCAUUAUACCCUCUGAAAGGGGAUCUAUCUAGCUAUCUAGUUCUAUUAAAAGACAGCCACCACUUUGAGUGUCAAAUAAACCACAAGCCAUUUGACAUUUUAAAUAUUAUCAAAAUCAACAUAAAAUAAAACAUUUUUCAUAAAUCAAAUGGUCCGCUGGUCUGCGGCGGAUCAAAAUCUUUCAAAUAUGUGCGUUUGAUAUGGCAAUUUGGCUAUAAAGAUACAGAUACAGAUAUUCAGGAAGAAUCGAUCUGCUAUGGAGUUGGGAAUUAAAGUCUCUGGACUUCGACGUGCCAGGGCUACGAGUAUGUUAAGGGCAUACAAAUCUCCAACCCCAUAAAGACGCCUCCCUCCAGCCCUGACCCAAAAACUGCACCAUUUCGAGAGGAAGAGGAAAGGAGCCAGCGGGCAGCAGUAAAAAAAAUAUAUUUUUAAAAAUGUCCGAAUAAAAUUCGGAAGACAUCUGUUAAGAUACAUCAUCUUCAAGAUGUUGUGUACACGUUGUGUUCUACAAACGAACGUCGAAGUACAAAAAGAAAAUAUUCUAAUCCGCGUGAAGGCUGUGUAUCUUUUGGAUACACAUAUUUGAAGAUGUGCAACGCAGAAAUAAUAAAGCGAAUGGUUUGUUUACUCGAACUGA